GCCAGCAGCCGCGGUAAUACGAAGGGGGCUAGCGUUGUUCGGAAUCACUGGGCGUAAAGCGUAUGUAGGCGGAUCAAAAAGUUAGAUGUGAAAUCCCUGGGCUCAACCCAGGAACUGCAUUUAAAACUAGUGAUCUAGAAUUUGGUAGGGGUUAGUAGAAUUUCCAGUGUAGAGGUGAAAUUCGUAGAUAUUGGAAAGAAUACCAGUGGCGAAGGCGACUAACUGGGCCAUUUUUGACGCUGAGAUACGAAAGCGUGGGUAGCAAACAGGAUUAGAUACCCUGGUAGUCCACGCAGUAAACGAUGAGUGCUAGUCGCUGGGACAAUAGUUUCAGUGUCGACGCUAACGCAUUAAGCACUCCGCCUGGGAAGUACGGUCGCAAGAUUAAAACUCAAAUAAAUUGACGGGGGCCCGCACAAGCGGUGGAGCAUGUGGUUUAAUUCGAAGCAACGCGAAGAACCUUACCAGACCUUGACAUGGUAUGUUUGAAUUACAGAAUCGUAAUUCUUCAGUUCGGCUGGCAUACACACAGGUGCUGCAUGGCUGUCGUCAGCUCGUGUCGUGAGAUGUUGGGUUAAGUCCCGCAACGAGCGCAACCCUCAUUUUUAGUUGCCAUCAGGUUAAGCUGGGCACUCUAAAAAAACUGCCGGUGAUAAGCUGGAG
rnacentral:rRNA from 1 species